CCUACGGGUGGCUGCAGUGGGGAAUAUUGCACAAUGGGGGAAACCCUGAUGCAGCGACGCCGCGUGAGUGAAGAAGUAUUUCGGUAUGUAAAGCUCUAUCAGCAGGGAAGAAACCCACCCUCCGGGGUGGCUGACGGUACCUGACUAAGAAGCCCCGGCUAACUACGUGCCAGCAGCCGCGGUCAUACGUAGGGGGCAAGCGUUGUACGGAUUUACUGGGUGUAAAGGGAGGUUAGGUGGCAAGGCAAGUCAGCGGUGAAAAGCCGGGGCCCAACCCCGGGAGUGCAUUUGAAACUGUCUGGAUAGAGUGCAGGAGAGGUAAGUGGAAUUCCUAGUGUAGCGGCGAAAUGCAUAGAUAUUAGGAGGAACACCAGUGGCGAAGGCGGCUUACUGGACUGUAACUGACACUGAGGCUCGAAAGCGUGGGGAGCAAACAGGAUUAGAUACCCUAGUAGUC
rnacentral:rRNA from 1 species